rnacentral:lncRNA from 1 species
AUCCCUGGGCCUGGGCCUACCUAGGUGAAGACAGGCAUUUUUGUUUUCCUGCCCGGAUGUUGCAUUUCCCAAGACCACCCUGGCCUGCCAUGCCCUCAUCCUGUGCCUUUAAAAACCCCCGAGACCCUGGCAGGCAGACGCACAAGCAGCUGGACAUUGAGAGGAGCAUAUAGGCAGAGAAUACAGGGGCUGCUGGAUGUCGAAAGGAACGCACCAGCAUAGGAGCACACCGGCAUGCUGGCAGGCCAUUGACCAGCGGAAGAAUGCAGAGUUUGUCGCGGGAGGUCAGAGAAGAGUCAGGCCGCCAUACCUGACUCCAGGAGAAAACCGUCUCCCUUCUGGUUCCCCCGUCUGCCGAGAGCUACUUCCACUCAAUAAAACUUUCCACUCAUUCUUCAAGCCCACGUGUGAUCCAAUUCUUCCCGUACACCAAGGUCAAAACAGUCACAAGCCUGCUCAAAUUCGGAAAGAGGGGACGGAAAUGGAACCUCUUCAUGGGAGGAAGAAACAGGGUCUUGCUCUGUUGCCCUGGCUGGAGUGCAAUGGUAUGAUCAUAGCUCACAGUAGCCUUGAACUCCUGGGCCCAAGCCAUCCUCCUACCUCAGCAACCAGAGUAGCUGGGAUUACAGGCGAAUGCCACCACACCUGGAAUUGGAAAAAUGAAUGUAAUUUGACAUAUGUCUUGAGUCUGGUUGGCUUCUGAGGAACUUGUGUGCAUCUCAUCAGUAUGCAUCUUAAGAACUGAAAUGACCCUACUUCAGCAUUGUGAGAAGACAUGCAUUCUCUUCGUAUAAAUAAUGUGGAUCUUACAUGUGAAAUUACAUAAAGAUAAAAGGGGAUGCACUGAACCUGAUGGUACUUUCCUGUACAAUUGAGAAAAGGUGAAAUAAGCAGAAGACCAAGGGAUGCAUUGGGAGGAGGAGAACCAGGAGGAGGACCACGUAAUGGAAGCCAAGUGAAGACAGUGUUUCCCAGUGCUGGCAAGGAGCAGGCUCCAUGCAUGCAUUUGGGCUCUGUGGAAAAUCUAGCCAGGGAUGCGGGCCUUUCUGAACGCCGCUUUCAUUGUGCCCCCUGCAGCAUUAUCUCUUCGAUGCGAUGUCCCUGCUGACUGAAAUGCAGAGAAGCUACUAAGAUCCACACACCAGUUGCUGCAAUCGGUGCCCUGCUCUUUGUCCCCCAUUCACCCCAGGUGAUUCAGCUCUUCUGGCACUCCCAGUGAUUCCUGUGGGACAGGCCCAGAGUGGACUUCCCACGAAGAUUCCCAGACUGGGGGAGAGCUCUAAGAUCCACUUCCAAUUCCUUUGUCUCACCUAGGAGACUCUGGGUUUAUGGAAGUUCUCUCUGAUUAGUGCUGUUGCAGCUGGGUUUGGGGGUCAUGUAGUCUAAAUGAUUGUUUCUCUUACUGGUGGUGAUUUUUCCAGUUUCUGUGGGCCCAGUGGAUUUCUCUGCUUCUCCUUAGAGUUCUGGUGAACUCAGAAUGUUAGUGUUAUUCUUUUCUUUGAAAAUAGUUUCCAUUUGUAAUUUGCUUGGAGAGUGAUUCUGGGGGAUUCUAUUCUGCCAUCUUGCUGCUGUCACUCUUUAAUAAGAUUUGUAACUAAUUCUCAAAUUGUUCAUAGUCUUAAAACUACAUAGAGUUGAUUUCAUACAUUUUAUUAUGAGAACAAUAAAAGUAUUUUGUGUCUUUGCUAGUGAGAUUUUUAGUUAUACAGAAAUUACAGUGUUUCCUGCUAUGUUCAAUCAUUCCAAGAUUCAUUAUACAUAUGUUAAAUAUGUUAUACAUUUGUUUACAUAAUGCAUAUUUUAUUUUUUUUCUGAGAUACCCAAAGCAUAAUCUCCCUCACUAUCCUGAAUAAUUAUAAAUUAGUAUUUCAUAUAUGAUAGAAAAUUUGUGACAUCCACUAUUUUUAAGAACGGCUAGGCUGGGCGUGGUGGCUCAUUCCUGUAAUCCCAGCACUUUGAGAGGCUGAGGUGGGCGGAUCACGUGAGUUCGGGAGUUCGAGACCAGCCUGACCAGCAUGGAGAAACCCCAUCUCUACUAAAAAUACAAAAUUAGCCGGGCGUGGUGGCACAUGCCUGUAUUCCCAGCUACUCGGGAGGCUGAAGCAGGAGAAUUGCUUGAACCCGGGAGGUGGAGGUUGCAGUGAGCCGACAUCAUGCCAUUGCACUCCAGCCUGGGCAGCAAGAGUGAAACUCUGUCUCGAAAAAAAAAAAAAAAAAAAAAGAAGAAUGGCUAAUUUCAGAACAUGUUUAUAUGUAUGUUGUAUUCAAUGUCUUUAAUUAAAGUCUGUUUCUUUAUCCUAAUUUGUGUGGCAAACUAAUAUUUACCAUAAUAAAUGGCUUGAAGAAUAAAA